rnacentral:rRNA from 3 species
UGGGGAAUAUUGCACAAUGGGCGCAAGCCUGAUGCAGCGACGCCGCGUGAGGGAUGGAGGCCUUCGGGUUGUAAACCUCUUUUAUCGGGGAGCAAGCGAGAGUGAGUUUACCCGUUGAAUAAGCACCGGCUAACUACGUGCCAGCAGCCGCGGUAAUACGUAGGGUGCAAGCGUUAUCCGGAAUUAUUGGGCGUAAAGGGCUCGUAGGCGGUUCGUCGCGUCCGGUGUGAAAGUCCAUCGCUUAACGGUGGAUCCGCGCCGGGUACGGGCGGGCUUGAGUGCGGUAGGGGAGACUGGAAUUCCCGGUGUAACGGUGGAAUGUGUAGAUAUCGGGAAGAACACCAAUGGCGAAGGCAGGUCUCUGGGCCGUUACUGACGCUGAGGAGCGAAAGCGUGGGGAGCGAACAGG